AGUGAACGCUGGCGGUAGGCCUAACACAUGCAAGUCGAACGGCAGCACAGUAAGAGCUUGCUCUUACGGGUGGCGAGUGGCGGACGGGUGAGGGAUACAUCGGAAUCUACUUUUUCGUGGGGGAUAACGUAGGGAAACUUACGCUAAUACUGCAUACGACCUACGGGUGAAAGCAGGGGAUCUUCGGACCUUGCGCGAUUGAAUGAGCCGAUGUCGGAUUAGCUAGUUGGCGGGGUAAAGGCCCACCAAGGCGACGAUCCGUAGCUGGUCUGAGAGGAUGAUCAGCCACACUGGAACUGAGACACGGUCCAGACUCCUACGGGAGGCAGCAGUGGGGAAUAUUGGACAAUGGGCGCAAGCCUGAUCCAGCCAUACCGCGUGGGUGAAGAAGGCCUUCGGGUUGUAAAGCCCUUUUGUUGGGAAAGAAAAGCAGCAGGUUAAUACCCCGCUGUUCUGACGGUACCCAAAGAAUAAGCACCGGCUAACUUCGUG
rnacentral:rRNA from 1 species